CCCCCUACAGGCUGUUUACUGUUUGUGGGUUGACUACCUCUAGUGAGUACAGGCAGCGAGUAAUCUUAACUAAUCCUUAAAAGUAAAAUAAAUAUGCACAUAUAUUCUAUUUGACCUCUUGCGCCGACAGUUUGGCUUAAGCUGGUUAAUGAGCAGCUCGGAGGAAAAGCUGCCACCGCUGCUGGAGCUCAGGUUACCUUUCACAAGGCUAGCCGAUUCUUAGCGUGACAUUUACCAGCAGACCUGAGAGCGGAAAACAGGGAGUAAAAUCACACCAUGCUACCUGACAAGGACGGUCCAGUCAUUGGAGGGGGCCAGGGCUCCCCUGAAGGAGAGGACCCCUCUGUGGCUCUGUUCAGGGAAUACCUCCGUCUUAAAACCGUCCACCCUGCCCCUGACUAUGAUUCUGCUCUCAGGUUCUUGGACAGAAUAGCUGAGGAGCUGGAGCUUCCCAUGAAAAAGAUUGAGGUCUGUCCAGGCAGAGUUGUAUCUAUCAUGACAUGGGAAGGGACGAAACCCACCCUAAAAUCCGUCUUACUGAACUCCCACACAGAUGUUGUACCUGUUUACCAGGAGCACUGGAAAUACGAUGCUUUCAGUGCUAUGAAAGAUGCUGAGGGUAACAUUUUUGCCCGUGGAUCUCAGGACAUGAAAUGUGUGACUAUACAAUACAUUCAGGCGGUCAGAAGACUGAAGGCGCAGGGAUGGAAACCGACACGCACUGUGCAUUUAAUGUUUGUUCCUGAUGAAGAAGUUGGAGGCCAUAAGGGAAUGGAAACAUUUGUGACGCAUCCAGAGUUUCAAAAGUUAAACAUCGGCUUUUCUCUGGAUGAAGGUCUGGCCAAUCCUGGUGAGGCUUUCACUGUGUUUUAUGGAGAAAGGAACCCCUGGUGGAUUACUGUCCGCUGCCCGGGAAGUCCUGGUCAUGGCUCUAGGUUUGUGGAAAACACAGCUGCAGAAAAACUCCGACAAGUCAUCAACUCUUUUCUGGACUUCAGAGAGAAGGAGAAACAUCGGUUAAACACCAGUGAGUGUUUCACACUGGGAGACGUCACCACUGUGAAUAUGACCAUGGUUAAAGGCGGUGUGGCCUACAAUGUCAUCCCAGCUGAAAUGGAUGUCAGCUUCGACUUAAGAAUCCCACCCACAGUAAACCUCCAGGAGUUUGAAAAGCAGAUCAAGCAGUGGUGUAAAGAUGCAGGAGAUGAUGUCACGUAUGAGUUUGCUCAGAAACACAUGAACCAGAACAUCACAUCCACAGCUGAGAACGAUCCCUGGUGGAGCGCAUUCAGUGCCACCUGCAAGUCAUUCAGACAUUUCCCUGCAAAAUGGGUCAGAUUUCAUCCAGACACAAUGAGAAUCCUGGCGGAUGUGAACAGCAUAUUGAGAAGGAGAGUUUAGCGCUGUGGGAACCCUGAGCUCCUGAGCCUUACUGCUGCAGCUCAGAUCUGACGAUACAGGACAUGACAGCAGCCUUAACACAUUGGGCCGUCAGGGAGACGCAUAAAAGCAGAAGCCACAUCCUUCCUCCCAGAGGGGGCAGGUGCAGUCAUCCUGCCGGCUGUCGAGCAUGAGAACGCCGUGCUGUGCAUCGCAUUGCUGCUGCUUAGCAGUUUGCAGAGGACAUGUUGCUUUUGCUGCUAAUUUGGGAAGAAUUUGGCAAAUAUGGAAAAGCAGAAAUGUGUACACUUAAGCACCCUCCACGAUGACAGUCCUAGCUAUUUGAAAUGUGUAAACGUUUCUAAAAUGAAAUGUUGUUGUUUUGCAUUAACAUAUUCUAAUGCUGGAAACAUUAAACAAAUCCAUUGUUUAAUUUAUUCUGAAGUGAAGAGAAAAUCCAACAUUAAUUUUUAAAGUAACCUUGUGUGUUUUUUAGCCACAUAGUGCUACUAUAAAUAAAUAACUAUGUUUCCUUCAGGUGUUAUUAAAAGGCUGCAUAUAUCAAAUAUGACUUAAAAAACUGUAAGUUAUGCCUAGUACUGGCUAGUCUGAAGGAGUUGAGUGGAGGAACUGCUCUGUGAGGGAGAAGCUUGGAUACUUCAGGUUUUAGGCCCAGAGACCUUGAUAGAUAAUGGAAGAUGGUUGAUUUUGUGUCUAAUGGAGCAUUUCUGUCUUGAUCCAACCACAUGUCUGUUUUAUGACAGAGUAUAGAUUUUUAUUUUAAAUUUCCUGGUGUUUCAAAGAGUUGAUUAUACCAUGCACUCGAACAAGGUUCCCUGUAAACUUUGGGAGAAAACAGCUUCAGGUAUAGUUAUUUUAUGGGACUUGUAAGUGAUGCCACUGAAUAAUUUUGCUUGAAUGAAGGUUGAUUCUUUCUAAAUAUUUUAACAUGAGAAUAUGCAUUACAGGUCCAUUACUUACAUAUUUCUCCCAAACAUAUUGCAAAAAAGACAGUGACUUAUGCCUUUAGAGCACAUGAGCAACAGAAAAAAACCUCACCUUAUAAGUAUGUAAAAAGAAAGAAUGAAAUCAAUUUGCAAAUCUAUUAAAGAGGUUACCGUUCAUCUCGUUUGUACAUCUGCAGCAUCUCAGGGUUUAGUUUCAUGCUUGAGGGGAGAGCUGCUAACCCUCACAGAUGCUGCAGUUAAUAAAAGAACGUAAAGAAAUUAAAUCCUACAGCUGAGUGGCGACUCAUUCUGCCGUGUUGCGCUGCAGUGUAGCUACAACUGUCCUCUGGCAGUAAUUGCAGCUGAAACCUUCUGUGAUGGAAACAAGAUUCCCCCUUAAACAAGGGAUUAAUUGUAGUCUGCCAGGCACUGCGGUUUUGCUGGCACCGUACCGUACUACACUGGCCAACACAUUCUCUUGCACUUGUCUAUGCACUCAUACCCCCAUCCUCCAAGUCUUAGCAAAUUAAUAAUAAUCAUGUUGAACAAAGAGAGAAUUGUUAAACGCUAAAAUAAAUCUCUUACACAGCUUAUGAAUCAUCAUUACUGCCUUAUUUUUCUUAUUUACAUUUCGUGUCAUCUGUAUGUGUUUUUUUUUAGCAUUUUUAUGUUAUGUACGCUUAAACAGAAGUUCUGAACGUUUAACAAAAAUAUGCAAGGGUAAAUGUAAGGUAAAAACCCUCAUGUGAACCCUCUGCUCUUAAAAGUGCAGGCUUUACAAAUGGUUCAUGAACUUGGCUUUGACUUUUUUCAUAAAUGAAGACAG